rfam:Ovis aries breed Texel chromosome 17, whole genome shotgun sequence.
UCCCUGGUGGUCCAGUGGCUAAGACUCCUUGUUUCCAAUGCAAGGGCCCAGGUUCAACUCCUGGUCAGGGCA